rnacentral:rRNA from 1 species
GGGCCCGCACAAGCGGUGGAGCAUGUGGUUUAAUUCGAUGCAACGCGAAAAACCUUACCUACUCUUGACAUACUUGGAAGCUCUUGUAAUGAGAGUGUGCCUUUUGGAGCCAAGAUACAGGUGCUGCAUGGCUGUCGUCAGCUCGUGUCGUGAGAUGUUCCGUUAAGUCGGAUAACGAGCGCAACCCUUACCCUUAUUUGCCAGCGAUUCGGUCGGGAACUAUAAGGGGACUGCCGGUGAUAAACCGGAGGAAGGUGAGGACGACGUCAAGUCAUCAUGGCCCUUACGAGUAGGGCUACACACGUGCUACAAUGGGGAAUACAGACGGACGCUAAGCCGCGAGGUGGUGCUAAUCCUAGAAAGCUAUCUCAGUUCGGAUCGUAGGCUGCAACUCGCCUACGUGAAGGCGGAAUC